rnacentral:piRNA from 1 species
UGAAAGUGGUGUUUGUUGUUUGGUAAAGU